rnacentral:rRNA from 1 species
AUUGAACGCUGGCGGCAGGCCUAACACAUGCAAGUCGAACGAGUGGCGGACGGGUGAGUAAUGUCUGGGAAACUGCCUGAUGGAGGGGGAUAACUACUGGAAACGGUAGCUAAUACCGCAUACCAUCAGAUGUGCCCAUAUGGGAUUAGCUAGUUGGUGGGGUAACGGCUCACAAAGGCGACGAUCCCUCGCUGGUCUGAGAGGAUGACCAUCCACACGUGAACUGAGACACGGUCCAGACUCCUACGGGAGGCAGCAGUGGGGAAUAUGGCACAAUGGGCGCAAGCCUGAUGCAGCCAGGCCGCGUGUAUGAAGAAGGCCUUCGGGUUGUAAAGUACUUUCAGCGGGGAGGCGUUACCCGCAGAAGAAGCACCGGCUAACUCCGUGCCAGCCGCCGCGGUAAUAC